AUGGUCUCGAUCUCCUGACCUCGUGAUCCGCCCGCCUCGGCCUCCCAAAGUGCUGGGAUUACAGGCGUGAGCCACCGCGCCCGGCCGGAACUAGUACUCUUGCAAGAAAAUCACUGGGAGAUGAUUUAGGAGGAGGAGCACAACUUUAGGUUUGAAUAUGAAAUUGGAACAAGUGUACUCAUAGGCUCAGCAUUCACUCUCUUAUCCCAGUCCCCUCCUGCUUUUUGGCUUAUUCUCUUUAUUAUUCAUGCACAAGAUGUUCCCUCUCUUUUCACUCUCACAGAAUCAUGCAUUGUUUUGAGGUUGAAAUUGUCUUUCUUAUCUUUGUAUUCCUUACAGUAAACACACAUAAUAAGGAUUCAACAAUAUUUUUCAAAGGAAAUAAAACAUCAAGCCCAGGGGCCACUGAUUUAAUUGCUCUCUUGAGCAAGUCCAUUCAUGGCUCUAAAUGUCUAUUUACUAUGGUUAUUCAUGAUGUUGAUGAAUGUCUCAGCAACUACCAUUAACUGAGCACUUCUACUCGAUGCAGACUAUUGUGUUGUGCUGAGUUUUACCUUCAUUCUUCGUUUCACUUAGUCCUCAUAACAAUCCUUAGAGGGUGUCAACAGAGGCAACAAAAGGAAAGUGGGCAAACCUUUAAUAUGCAAGGUCUCUUCUCAUUAUGCAGAGAACAAUGGCCACUGAACCUACAUCCAAUCAAACCAAGUCUGCUCGAGCUGCAGAAGUGCAAAUCCUUGGUCCCUAGACAUUAAUCAUUUCCAUACAUGAAUGAGAAGCUUGUGGGGAUAGGUAGUUUUAUUUAUAAGCCAACACAUACUCACUCCCGCUCCCUCCAUACAUACACAUAAGCUUCAGCCUUUUUAAGACACAAGGGUGUCUUUCAGUUUACCUACUUUUUUAGACCUGUGUGGAUAUAAGGAUUACAGGUUUCCUGCCUGUCCAGGAAGAGUGAUCACUUUGCUCUCUAAGAACUUAACUCCCAGGCUUAAUUAUUAUGCGAGUGUGCAAGUGUAUUAAGCAUGUAGGCCAAAAGCAAUUUAAAGUCUAUGCUGCAUUGACUUUCAAAUUAUUUCAUUUCUAAUUCAGAUGCAUGCUUUGUUAAGGCAUUUAUCACUGUUAUAUCAUCAGCCAGAUUGUUCCAUGACUACAGUCCCUCAAAACCUCUAUCCCCACCGGGUCCACAUCAGGAGCACUAAAUGACAUCCCCUACCCUCGUACGUUGAGUCAAGCUUGGAGUCUCCUCCCCAAGUGCCUCACUUCAUCUUUCGAUGUAUCUCCCACUGGUGGAAAAUGUAUCAAACACUGCAUAUCUCAUCAGCAAGACCAUUUGUUUCUCCUUACUAAGGCAUUGUGGUGCUCCUAGAAAGGUGGACACAGUUUCACGCCCGCACUCAGAAUUCCUUGAAACUAGUCAAAUGACUUUCAUCAGUAAAUCAGAUAUUACUUCCUUGAAUAUGUUGGAUUCUUAGAAAAAUUAAUGAAUACAAAGAUUCUAUAGUCUUGGAACGUGAGGAAUUAACAGAUAACCAAAGCAUCUUAAAGCCAUACCUAAUGUCAGUAAUCUAUCCCUUGUAAACGUAAAUCUAACGAUGUCUAUACUAACAGCUUCUAAAGGACCAAUAGUCCUUCCCCAUCCAGACCUCUUAACCUCAAUGAAGACUAUUCCCACCAUACAUGCCACAUAUUAAACCUGUAUCUGGGAGGAGGAGAGAGUUUCUGGGAUAUGGAGAAAGACAAUAUUUUUGCUGUUCCUUUGUCCUUAACAUUUUUAUUUUGUCUUGAUAUUUUUACUUAUUCCAUGAUUUUGCAGCUAAAGAAUGGAGUCGGAGAUGGAGCAGAGAGAAUAUUUGGAAAAUAACUAAAAUUAGCAGCAGAUGCAAACUGUGCACUUACAGUCAGUAGCAGAAUAAAAAAUCUGGGCUUUUGGUACUGAUUUGGUAUGACCUUCUUCUUUCUCAUUUUGAAACCUCUUACUGCUGCCAGAGAAACCAACAACACUCUUUGCACUAUGUUACACUCAAGGUAGCUGAAAAACUUCAUCAAUAAGUAUCCUGAGGUUUAAGCCAACCAAUAAAAUUAAAGAAAAGAAAGUCAUUACAGUAGGAUGUGUGAUUUAGGGCCAACAUGAAAAGCAACGAAGAGAACUCUGUAUGUCACUAAUGGAAACUUGGCCAGUUCCUACCUACUAAUAAAUAAUGUGCUGUUAAGCUGAGAGCUAAAUAUUUGGGUGAGGAUUUGGAGAUUCCAGAAAUCCUGAAACUAAUUAAGACAUAAAUAUGAGGAUCCUGAAAAGUUCAAGGAUAGAUUAGGGGGAAUGAAUGCACCAGCAAGAUGACCUCACUCUCCAGCAAACAGGCUCAGGUGAGGUAGGACAUUGAAAUGGAACUGGGUCCCUGGAGGACAUGAAGGAAGCUGAAACAGAGUGUGUGGGAUCUAAGAAGGAAAAAUUUGUAUUUUUGUGUACUUUUGGUUUUCGAUCCUUAUACUGAUCUACUUGUAUCAAG
rnacentral:lncRNA from 1 species